rnacentral:rRNA from 1 species
GACGAACGCUGGCGGCGUGCUUAACACAUGCAAGUCGAACGGAAAGGCCCUGCUUUUGUGGGGUGCUCGAGUGGCGAACGGGUGAGUAACACGUGAGUAACCUGCCCUUGACUUUGGGAUAACUUCAGGAAACUGGGGCUAAUACCGGAUAGGAGCUCCUGCUGCAUGGUGGGGGUUGGAAAGUUUCGGCGGUUGGGGAUGGACUCGCGGCUUAUCAGCUUGUUGGGGGGGUAGUGGCUUACCAAGGCUUUGACGGGUAGCCGGCCUGGGAGGGUGACCGGCCACAUUGGGACUGAGAUACGGCCCAGACUCCUACGGGAGGCAGCAGUGGGGAAUAUUGCACAAUGGGCGGAAGCCUGAUGCAGCAACGCCGGGUGCGAGAUGACGGCCUUCGGGUUGUAAACCGCUUUCGCCUGUGACGAAGCGUGAGUGACGGUAAUGGGUAAAGAAGCACCGGCUAACUACGU